AAGAAAAAACUACAAACCAGGUGAGCUGUGAUGUCAUCAGUUAUGCAACAUCUGUCACAUUUACUUUCUGUUUGAACACGACUGAAAGUGGGAGACCCCAGUCCGGUUGUUAUGUCUCAGUUUGUUGUUCAGAUAUUUUCUUUCAACUCUUUGGAUCGUUUGAACAAACUGCUGAACCACUAACACACAGGCCAACUGGGAAUACAUAUACUGAACAAAAAUAUAAACGCCCCAGCGGCUAAGACCAGCGACACACACAGCUGAUGAGACUAUUGGUCUGCAUAACAGAUGCAUCACACCUCCAACUGUCCAUAACCGCCUACAAGAAGCCAACUUGGUCAAAAUCAAACUCCUCCACCCUCAUGUUCAAAGGACUGUCAAUCCACUACAAAUGGCCAAACCACAAUGUUAUCAAUGCCGAUAUGAAGAUCAGUAAUUACUGAAAAUAUGUUUUGAGUUUCUCUAUAUAUUGCAUUACCCAAAUAUUCAUAAAACUCUUAUAUUUGACAUGGGGUGUUUACAUUUUUGUUCAGUGUACAUAAACUAUAUCAGCACAGAAAAAGUCAGUGAGUUGAUAUGUAAAUGCUCACUGCAGCACAUAAUGCUUUGUUCAAAAGAUGCAUCAUUAUCACUGCAUGUCCAACGUGCAACAUCUUUGCUCUGCUUUGCAAGGUGGUGGCAUUUAAACUUGCCUCAUACCUUAAUGAAUAAUUCUAGAAAGAAACAUGAAUCCUCAGAGGGGAUUGAUAUAAAUGUCCACACAGGUCAACCUGUGUCCAGUUUGAGUAAAAGGUGCGAUACGCAAACCACCCCGAGGUAAACUUCAGAGAUGCAACACAACAGUGCAUGAGGCAGCAGAGGUGUGAUUGGUGCUGCCAGCUUCAUUCACUGCUCAGUGCAUCAACUAUAAGCCCAUCAUUCAGGAAAUAUUCUGCCCUGAAAAUGAAACACUGACUGCAGCAAAGACGACUGCAAUCUGGCUGGCUUAUUCAAAUUAUUAUUUUUUUAAAUAAAAA